AACCUUGCACGGCACUUUCAGCAUGAUGAGAAUGUUGGAAUUCGUUGUCUUGGAUGUGUAAAGUCUGUUAAUGCCAAGGUUAUCAUAACUACAAAGCCGCAGCCAAUGGUUGCUUAAAUAAGGAUAUACCAUCAGGCAGCGCAGGCAAUAUUUAACAGAGAUUGAUUUGUUAGUAAUGUAAAAUGUUAACAGCAUGGAAACAGUACAAAGAAGAGGGAUUGACAUAACAGACAAAGCACUGCAGCUCGUAUAGCUGGACAUGACAGACAUGGCGUACUAGUGUUCCACAUCUCAACACUUGCCUUCCGGCACAUUUAAUUAACGCCAAUAAGGCUGCCAACAAGGGCACCAUGUAACCAUCGCUAUAACAAGCAAAGACCAGCAAACUCCAGUAAUGAAAAUGCUGGCCCCUACUAUUUUGUGGAAGAUCGCAUUGUCACCUUAACCACUGCACAUACUAUCAUUUUCAGCGUAACCUAACAGACGAGAGAAUGAGCUCCAGUGCCCAAUCACAACCGCACUUUGAAGUGACGCACAAGCACUCCCUGUCUAGCAUAGCGUGAUAACAGUGGUAUCAGUGUAUAUGACCUCAUUUGUCUGUGGCCCAUUUGCCACAAAGAUAACAGGGCAACCCAAGACAGCGCCUUCUUUCGAGCAAGUGCA
rnacentral:lncRNA from 1 species